GAUGAAAACGUAGCGAAAUGCGAUAAGUAAUGUGAAUUGCAGAAUUCCGUGAAUCAUCGAAUCUUUGAACGCACAUUGCGCCCCCUGGUAUUCCGGGGGGCAUGCCUGUCCGAGCGUCAUUGCAACCUUCAAGCGCGGCUUGUGUGUUGGGUCUCGUCCCCCGUGGACGGGCCCGAAAGGCAGUGGCGGCGUCCCGACAUGGUGCCCGAGCGUAUGGGAAUCCUCUUCCGCUCGAAUCGGCCCAUGCGGCGCUGGUCGUAACCAAAUUUUUUACCGGUUGACCUCGGAUCAGGUAGGGAUACCCGCUGAACUUAAGCAUAUCAAUAAGCGGAGGA
rnacentral:misc_RNA from 1 species